AUGUCAAAAAUGCUUUUUUUUCAUGGCUCUCUUCAAGAAACAGUCUAUUGUCAACAACCUCUUGGCUUCGAACAUUCCUCCUAUCCUAAUCGUGUUUGUCUUCUUCAAAAUUUUCUUUAUGGUCUUAAACAAGCACCACGUGCCUGGUUCCAACGCUUUCCUACUUAUGCUCAAACCAUUGGUUUUACCCCUUCCCGUUCUGACACUUCACUCUUCACCUUUCAUCACAACAACAACACCGCUUACCUUCUUUUAUAUGUUGAUAAUAUUAUCCUCACAGCUUCCUCACAACAAUUUUUAGAUCAUAUUAUCUCUCUUCUUCGCCACGAAUUCUCUAUGACAGAUUUACGUCUUCUUCACCACUUCUUAGGUAUUGAUGUUAUCCGUGACUCCUUUGGUCUUUUCUUGUCUCAACGUCAGUACACUCUGGAUCUUCUUUCUCGUGCUGGUAUGCUUGAUUAUCAAACUUCCCGUACCCCUGUUUAUACAGGUUCCAAACUCUCUGCCGACGGUGAUCCUUUCUCCGAUCCUUCUCUUUAUCGUAGUCUUAUCGGUGCACUUCAGUAUCUCACUCUCACUCAUCCUGAAAUUUCUUUUGUUGUCUAA
rnacentral:rRNA from 1 species